CAAAGUAUUGAGAUACACUUUUGUUAUUGACCAAAUACUUAUUUUCCACCAUAAUUUGCAAAUAAAUUCAUUAAAAAUCCUACAAUGUGAUUUUCUGGAUUUUUUUUCUCAUUUUGUCUGUCAGAGUUGAAGAGUACCUAUCAGGAAAAUUGCAGGCCUCUCUCAUCUUUUUAAGUGGGAGAACUUGCACAAUUGGUGGCUGACUAAAUACUUUUUUGCCCCACUGUAUGCAAAUAUAAAUUAAUAAGACAUCUUCAAUAAGAAAUAAAGUAUUUAGUAAUUUAUUGAAUCUCUAAUUUGUACUUUCUUCCCUUAAAAAAAAAAAUCACAAACGAUAUCAGAAACUCUCCAACGGAAUGAUCUAACAGAGAAAAGGGAUGGUGACCAUGCACCUUGCUUGGCCAGCCCCUAUGACAACAACAACCACGACGACUACACCAAUGACCACAACCAUAGAGCUAACCAACUACAACUGCCAAGUCGUACAAAGUGGGAAAGGUGGAACCUAGUGCUCCUGUGAUUUGAUUGUUUGGGCCCCAUUUGGCUGCUGGCUGUGGCCUCCUCUUCAACAUCACCGUAUCCCAUUGCAACCCUGAGUCCUGCAUUCACUCACCAAUAUAGCCCCAUGUACCCAUUCACUCACCAAUAUAGCCCCAUGUACCCAUGAAACACACACCCACCAAACAAAACAAGAGUAUUGAACCAACUGAUGUAAAUAUGCUGCCUUCAUUUUUCUGUUAGAAUGUACACUCUAUGACCAAAAGAAUGUGGACAGCUGCUCGUUGAACAUCUCAUUCCAAAAUCAUGGGGAUUCAUAUGGAGUCGGUCCCCCCCUUUGCUGCUACUCUUCUGGGAAAGCUUUCCGCUAGAUGUUGGAACAUU